rnacentral:rRNA from 1 species
GACGAACGCUGGCGGCGUGCUUAACACAUGCAAGUCGAACGAUGAUCUGGCAGCUUGCUGCUGGGGAUUAGUGGCGAACGGGUGAGUAACACGUGAGUAACCUGCCCUGGACUCUGGGAU